CAGAAACAAGCCCCAUAAUAAAUGGAUUCACUGCCAAAGGAAUUUUUUUUUUUCAGCAGGCCAAGAACAAUUUAUAGAUCAUCUUCUUCUUAACAUGUGACAUUACGCUUUCCACAGUUUGUUUCUGUUAAAGGCAAGAUGAUUUGUUAUAGCGUCCUUCUAAAUCUUCUUUAAUUUGUCUCAUCCAGUUAUUUCUGGUUCUUCUACUGGUCUUUAGUACUCCCAGUGGUUUUUAACCAGCGUCACAAGUUUUUAUUCUUUUUUCUUGGUAAUUUGAUUACCACCGAUGAUGAUUCUGGUUUGUUAUAUUGUUUGUAAUUAUUCUUUAAAAUUUAUCUUUUUUGAAAUAGAAGAAGUGAGUGAUAUAUUUUUAUAUACAAAUAUGUAGUGUUUUAUUGUUAUAAAGCUUAUACUGUGCUAAUAAAUUAAGCACACUAGUAUUGCGUACCCUUGUGCUUAACUAUACACUCCUUUCUGUGAGCUUCGCCCACUUCCACAUAAUCCUGACUCAAACAAAGCAACAUGCUCAAUCACCACAAUAACAAUAUUUAACACUUAAAAAAAAUAAUUGCCAUGGAAACACUUAAUCAGCUCAAUGAUUCUUUGCUGCAAGGUCAUGAAAUUUGUACAAAGAAUUUGAAUAAAAUAUCACAUACGAAGGAAUCAAGAAUCAUGAUAAUUUAAAAGAAAUAAAUGAUAGUAGUAAUAAUUAACAAAUUAACUGACUUUUACAUUUAAAUUACUUACAAAUAGAGCUAAAACAAUUAUAUAAAUAUAAGUCAGUUUUGAUUUUUGGUCAUUGAUACUGGUUUUAGUAAGGCAAUCCACAUAUAUAUUUUACUGAGAGAGCACACAUAGUUGAAUGUUAGUCCAAGAUUAUAGUGAGUAUAUUUUUGUAUUUGAAGUAAAUUGUAAUUAAAUUAAUUUUUAAGAACCGAUUGUGAAGAUGCCAGUGACCACUAGCAAAGAGUCGCCCACCUUCCUACCAGACCCUACUGAUGGUAGUCUGUAUGCCCUAGCCACUGGAGUAGAUCAAGGCCUUCAGAAAUUGCCAUUCACUGUGGCAGAUCUUGUUUCUGCUCCACCUUCUCGUUCCGAAGGAAGACUUUACACAGGUAAG